rnacentral:rRNA from 1 species
CAAUAGCGUAUAUUAAAGUUGUUGCGGUAAAAAAGCUCGUAGUUGGAUUUCUACCGAAGAUAGCCGGUCGGGUCUUCGACCUUGUAUCUGGUUUUGUCUUUGGUAUCCUCAUAGGGAACGUUUCUGCGCUUUAUUGCGUGGUGCGGUAUCUAUGACUUUUACUUUGAGGAAAUUAGAGUGUUCACGGCAGGCAAACGCCUUGAAUAUAUUAGCAUGGAAUAAUAACAUAGGAUCUUCGUCCUAUUUUGUUGGUUUCUAGGGCUAAGAUAAUGAUUAAUAGGGAUAAUUGGGGGCAUCUGUAUCAACGCGUCAGAGGUGGAAUUCUUGGAUUGCGUUGCGACAAACUACUGCGAAAGCAUUUGCCAAGGGUGUUUUCAUUGA